rnacentral:rRNA from 1 species
CAAGUCGAACGCUGAAGCCUAGCUUGCUGGGUGGAUGAGUGGCGAACGGGUGAGUAACACGUGAGUAACCUGCCCUCUUCUUUGGGAUAACGCCCGGAAACGGGUGCUAAUACUGGAUAUUCACUGAUCUUCGCAUGGGGGUUGGUGGAAAGGUUUUUCUGGUGGGGGAUGGGCUCGCGGCCUAUCAGCUUGUUGGUGGGGUGAUGGCCUACCAAGGCUUUGACGGGUAGCCGGCCUGAGAGGGUGACCGGUCACAUUGGGACUGAGAUACGGCCCAGACUCC